rnacentral:rRNA from 1 species
GACCCAGACUCCUACGGGAGGCAGCAGUGGGGAAUAUUGCACAAUGGGGGAAACCCUGAUGCAGCGACGCCGCGUGAGCGAUGAAGUCUUUCGGUAUGUAAAGCUCUAUCAGCAGGGAAGAAAAUGACGGUACCUGACUAAGAAGCCCCGGCUAACUACGUGCCAGCAGCCGCGGUAAUACGUAGGGGGCAAGCGUUAUCCGGAUUUACUGGGUGUAAAGGGAGCGUAGACGGCAUGGCAAGCCAGAUGUGAAAUACCGGGGCUCAACCCCGGGACUGCAUUUGGAACUGUUAAGCUGGAGUGUCGGAGAGGCAGGCGGAAUUCCUGGUGUAGCGGUGAAAUGCGUAGAUAUCAGGAGGAACACCGGUGGCGAAGGCGGCCUGCUGGACUGCAACUGACGUUGAGGCCCGAAAGCGUGGGGAGCAAACAGGAUUAGAUACCCCCGUA